GCCCUGCGGGACGCAGCAGUAGGGAAUCUUCCACAAUGGGCGCAAGCCUGAUGGAGCAACACCGCGUGAGUGAAGAAGGGUUUCGGCUCGUAAAGCUCUGUUGUUGGAGAAGAACGUGCGUGAGAGGAACUGUUCGCGCAGUGACGGUAUCCAACCAGAAAGUCACGGCUAACUACGUGCCAGCAGCCGCGGUAAUACGUAGGUGGCAAGCGCUAUCCGGAUUUAUUGGGCGUAAAGCGAGCGCAGGCGGUUGCUUAGGUCUGAUGUGGAAGCCUUCGGCUUAACCGCAGGA
rnacentral:rRNA from 1 species